rnacentral:misc_RNA from 1 species
UUAAACUUAUUAUAUAUUUUUACUCAGACAACAAAAUAUCAAGAGUUUAAGGUCCUCUGGCAGACACUGGCCAGCCUAAGCCGAUGGUCAAAAGACGGGCCUGCCAAAGCAACAAAGGUAAUGUAAACAUAGGGUGGGAGAUCUACCCCGAAGGGCAAUUUCUCUGUAAUGAUCCUUCCGCAGGUUCACCUACGGAAA